UAUCGACGGCGGUGUUUGGCACCUCGAUGUCGGCUCAUCACAUCCUGGGGCUGAAGUAGGUCCCAAGGGUAUGGCUGUUCGCCAUUUAAAGUGGUACGCGAGCUGGGUUUAGAACGUCGUGAGACAGUUCGGUCCCUAUCUGCCGUGGGCGUUGGAAGAUUGAGAGGGGUUGCUCCUAGUACGAGAGGACCGGAGUGAACGCACCACUGGUGUUCGGGUUGUCAUGCCAAUGGCAUUGCCCGGUAGCUAAGUGCGGAAAAGAUAAGCGCUGAAAGCAUCUAAGCGCGAAACUUGCCUCAAGAUGAGUCUUCCCUGGGCCUUUAAGGCCCCUGAAGGAACGUUUAAGACUAAGACGUUGAUAGGCUGGGUGUGUAAGUGCAGCGAUGCAUUGAGCUAACCAGUACUAAUGAUCCGUGAGGCUUAACCUU
rnacentral:rRNA from 1 species